CUCCAGGUUCUCAUACCAGCUGUAAUUCCUGAUCUCAAUUAAUGAGAAGGACUCAGUGCAUGGGAGAUGCACAGAAGAAUGGGAUGUUGAGUUCUCCUCCUUAUUCCUGCUUGGGCAGCACGUGCCUGAACAGACAAUCAGACCAGGAUAUGAUGAGCUACUCGUGCUGCAGGAGGCCAGCCAGUGCUGAAGGGGAGUGCCUCAUCUGUCGUCCAGCCAUGCCUCUCAGAUUUUUGAAGAUUAAUUAUUUAUCAAAGAUGCUUCUGCAAGAAGUUUGGGCAGUACAUGUCAUCUUGAAUUAUUCCUGACAUUUUUUUUCCAAUGCAGCACACGGUGAGUUCAUUGAAAGGAGUAAAGAUGCUUUAUCUUUACGAUAUCAAAGAACAUGCUGGAGACAAAUGUUUCUCAACUUACUUGCAUGCCAGCCAUCAUGAAAGGCAACAUUCUCUGAGAACAACACCCCAGA